rnacentral:SRP_RNA from 1 species
ACCAAGCCCAACAAGGUGAGCUUAUAACCCAAGUGGGGUCACUAAGGUGAUAGGACAUAGGCUCAGAUCUGUUGGGCCAAGCUUGCCAUGGCUCUUUGUUGGCCUACCCAUUCCAAGCCAACAGUUGGCUCAUGUGACUUAGGUGAAGGCUUGGACCUUGUGUGCACUAGAGUGGAGGGUUCAAGGGCAAAAACCUCCCACUCUAGGCAGUUGAAGGACAGCAGGUCGAUGCUACUUAGCCCCGCCAUGGCCAAUGGGCUAAGUCCUACCGAAUCAAUGAGGUUA